rnacentral:misc_RNA from 1 species
ACCAAAACAGACCGUGAACCCGUCAUGUUGCCUGCCAGCGGCGGCCCUGCCGUCGCUUGGCCAAAGUCCUCGAUAACCUCCUCUCCUCGGAGCGGGGGCUCGGGGCAAAAGAACCCACGGCGCCGAAGGCGUCAAGGAACACUGUGCCUAACCCGGGGAAGCGGCUGGCUUGCUAGCUGCCCCUCGUGUUGCAAUGCUAUUUAAUCCACACGACUCUCGGCAACGGAUAUCUCGGCUCUCGCAUCGAUGAAGAACGUAGCGAAAUGCGAUACCUGGUGUGAAUUGCAGAAUCCCGCGAACCAUCGAGUCUUUGAACGCAAGUUGCGCCCGAGGCCACUUGGCCGAGGGCACGCCUGCCUGGGCGUCACGCCAAACACGCUCCCACCCCUCAUCGGGUGGUGGGAUGCGGCAUGUGGCUCCCCGUCUCGCAAGGGGCGGUGGGCCGAAGAUGCGGCUGCCGGCGUAUCGUGCCGGACACAGCGCGUGGUGGGCGAACUCGCUUUACUUACCGCAGUGCAUCCGGCCCAUAGCCGACGUGAUGGCCUUAAGGACCCUAUGAACGGAGCGCAUGACG